rnacentral:rRNA from 1 species
AAAUGGAUCUCAGCACCGGAA